CUUUCAGCCUAAGGACAAGCGGAGUUCGUAGGACUGGCCAGAAUCAACCACCUGGUCUGUGGUUGAACUGGACGGGGCACUAAUAUUUUUAUCAUAGCAUACCACCUCGGUAAUAUCAACUCACAACUUCUAGAAGAUAGAAAAUCAAGUAAUAGUUUCUUGGGUAUCUAAAAACUUCAGGAAUGAAAAAGCACAACAAAGCAGAAAAGGUUUUCAGAGGAUUCCAAGAAACCCAAUCUAGAGAUGAGGCUCUAAAGCAAGGCAGAGUGUAGUAAGGGAUAAGCUGGUGAUUUUUCAAAGAUGCUUGGUUGACCCGGGGUGCACAGUGCUGGUGCCACCUCUGGGCAGGACCUGGGCAGGUCAGAGCUCCCUUGUUUAGGGGCCAGAUGUUUCCUGUGGAAAGAAACUUUUA